rnacentral:rRNA from 1 species
GUACGUAGGCAGCGAGGCGUUGUUCGGAAUUACUGGGCGUAAAGGGCGCGAGUAGGCUGUGCUGUAAGUCAGGCGUGAAAGCCCCGGGCUGCAACCUGGGAAUUGCGCUUGAUUACUAGCGGCGCUGGAAGGUGGGAAGAGGAUGGCGGAAUUACCUGGUGUAGCGGUGAAAUGCGGCAGAAUGAUCAGGAGGAACACCGGU